UGGGGAAUAUUGGACAAUGGACCGAGAGUCUGAUCCAGCAAUUCUGUGUGCACGAUGAAGUUUUUCGGAAUGUAAAGUGCUUUCAGUUGGGAAGAAAAAAAUGACGGUACCAACAGAAGAAGUGACGGCUAAAUACGUGCCAGCAGCCGCGGUAAUACGUAUGUCACGAGCGUUAUCUGGAUUUAUUGGGCGUAAAGCGCGUCUAGGUGGUUAUGUAAGUCUGAUGUGAAAAUGCAGGGCUCAACUCUGUAUUGCGUUGGAAACUGUAUAACUAGAGUACUGGAGAGGUAAGCGGAACUACAAGUGUAGAGGUGAAAUUCGUAGAUAUUUGUAGGAAUGCCGAUGGGGAAGCCAGCUUACUGGACAGAUACUGACGCUAAAGCGCGAAAGCGUGGGUAGCAAACAGGAUUAGAUACCCUGGUAGUCCACGCUGUAAACGAUGAUUACUAGGUGUUGGGGGUCGAACCUCAGCGCCCAAGCAAACGCGAUAAGUAAUCCGCCUGGGGAGUACGUACGCAAGUAUG
rnacentral:rRNA from 1 species